UACGUAGGUGGCAAGCGUUGUCCGGAAUUAUUGGGCGUAAAGCGCGCGCAGGCGGUCCUUUAAGUCUGAUGUGAAAGCCCACGGCUCAACCGUGGAGGGUCAUUGGAAACUGGGGGACUUGAGUGCACGAGAGAAGAGUGGAAUUCCACGUGUAGCGGUGAAAUGCGUAGAGAUGUGGAGGAACACCAGUGGCGAAGGCGACUCUUUGGCCUGUAACUGACGCUGAGGCGCGAAAGCGUGGGGAGCAAACAGG
rnacentral:rRNA from 1 species